rnacentral:rRNA from 1 species
CGUAGGGUGCAAGCGUUAAUCGGAAUUACGUGGGCGUAAAGCGUGCGCAGGCGGUGAUGUAAGACAGUUGUGAAAUCCCCGGGCUCAACCUGGGAACUGCAUCUGUGACUGCAUCGCUGGAGUGCGGCAGAGGGGGAUGGAAUUCCGCGUGUAGCAGUGAAAUGCGUAGAUAUGCGGAGGAACACCGAUGGCGAAGGCAAUCCCCUGGGCCUGCACUGACGCUCAUGCACGAAAGCGUGGGGAGCAAACAGGAUUAGAUACCCUGGUAGUCCACGCCCUAAACGAUGUCAACUGGUUGUUGGGUCUUCACUGACUCAGUAACGAAGCUAACGCGUGAAGUUGACCGCCUGGGGAGUACGGCCGCAAGGUUG